CAAAAUUCAGCAAUUCCCACAAUAGCGAAAAUUCACUCCAAAAUUCUAACAAUCCUUCUCCCUUUCUUUCGAUCUCGGACCAGAGAUGGUUGAUUUGGGUUGGAAGGCCAACAUGGUUUCAUCUGACAAGACGACGACUAAAUCCCCAAAAAUCAUCCCCAUCGCCAACAACAAGCUCAAUUUAUCUCUUCCCGUUUCGUUUCGUUCUUCAGAGCUCUCCACUGCUUCGCCUUCCUCUUGUUCUUCAUACGAGCAGUACCUUCGACUUAACGAACUCAGGAAGCUAUGGAGUUCUAAGGAGUUUCCUGAAUGGAGAAAUGAGUCGGUAUUGAAGCCGGGAUUACAAGCUUUGGAGAUUACCUUCCGCUUUAUUUCGACCGUUUUGUCUGAUCCACGGCCGUACGUGAACCGGCGGGAGUGGAAGAGGAAGCUUGAGUCUCUCACAACGAGUCAGAUCCAACUCAUUGCUAUGAUUUGUGAAGAUGACGAAGAGGACGGUGAAGCACGCGGUAGAGUUCCGAUUGUCGAUCUGAGUUCAUCCGAUGGCGUGAUUACACGCGACGGAAGCUCGGCGGAGGUUUGGAAGAUUCGUGGAGAAGCUACCGUUGUGAACAGAACGAGUGAAUCGAGUCUUCUUCCUCGGCUUGCAUCAUGGCAGAGCUCUGAAGACAUCGCACAGAUGAUUCAGUACUCCGUCGAGUGCGAGAUGAGGAGAUGUCCGUACACGUUAGGGUUAGGGGAGCCGAAUUUUGCUGGGAAACCGAAUCUUGAUUACGACCUAAUUUGCAAGCCAAACGAGCUUCAUUCUCUGAGAAAGACUCCGUAUGAUCAAAUCGAAAAUUACGAGAAUCAGACGGUUUAUACAACGCACCAGAUCCUGGAGUCGUGGAUUUACGCUGCGCAUGAGCUUCUGAAACGAAUUGCAGAGAGAAUCGAGAAGAAGAAUUUCGCCAGAGCCGCGAGCGAUUGCUAUCUGUUGGAGCGGAUCUGGAAGCUUCUGCAGGAGAUUGAAGAUCUUCACCUUCUGAUGGAUCCGGAUGAUUUCCUAAAGCUGAAGAAUCAAUUAGCGAUCAAAUCGCUGCAGGAAUCGGAAGCGUUUUGCUUCAGAUCGACAACGCUGGUGGAAAUUACGAAGCAGUGCAAGGAUCUGAAGCACAAGGUGCCGUUCAUCUUGGAUGUGGAGGUGGAUCCAAUGGGCGGACCAAGGAUUCAAGAGGCGGCGAUGAAAUUGUACAGCGAGAAGCAAGAAUUCGAGAAGAUUCAUCUGCUUCAAGCUCUACAAGCUAUCGAAUCGGCGACAAAGAAGUUUUUCUUCGCAUACAAGCAAGUUCUGGUUAUGGUGAUGGGAAGCUUAGAGGCGAAGGGGAACCGAGUCGUAGUGAGUUCGAACUCGGAUGAUUCACUGAGUCAGAUAUUUCUGGAGUCCACUUAUUUUCCAAGUUUGGAUGCUGCUAAGACGUUUCUCGGGGAUCUACAUAGUGUUUUCGGGUCGGAUCGGAGGACCCGGAUGAAGCUUUAGUCCUCGGGUUGACCCGCUCACAGCAAAAGUUGACUUUGGUUCUCAAUUUAUUCAUACAAAAUUGGUCUGCACCCCACGGGGAAUGGAUACGGAAUUGGAAAUGGAAAAUACAGCAAAUUAAAUUAAUUAAUUUUUUAAGAAAGGAAUGUAAAAUCUUCAAUCUUGUAUUGGUUGUAUAAUGACAUGUUUAAAGUUUUG
rnacentral:misc_RNA from 1 species